GUUUGAUCCUGGCUCAGGACGAACGCUGGCGGCGUGCUUAACACAUGCAAGUCGAGCGGUAAGGCCCCUUCGGGGGUACACGAGCGGCGAACGGGUGAGUAACAUGUGAGCAAUCUGCCCUUCACUUUUGGGAUAACUCUGGGAAACGAGAGCUAAUACCGAAUACGACCACUUCAGGCAUCUGAUGGUGGUGGAAAGUUCCGGCGGUGAAGGAUGAGCUCGCGGCCUAUCAGCUAGUUGGUGGAGUAACGGCCCACCAAGGCUUCGACGGGUAGCCGGCCUGAGAGGGUGACCGGCCACACUGGGACUGAGACACGGCCCAGACUCCUACGGGAGGCAGCAGUGGGGAAUAUUGGACAAUGGGCGAAAGCCUGAUCCAGCAACGCCGCGUGAGGGAUGACGGCCUCGG
rnacentral:rRNA from 1 species